rnacentral:rRNA from 1 species
AGAGUUUGAUCCUGGCUCAGAACGAACGCUGGCGGCGUGCCUAACACAUGCAAGUCGAGCGCGAAUGGGAGCAAUCCCUAGUAGAGCGGCGCACGGGUGCGUAACACGUGGGUAAUCUGCCUGGAAGCCCGGGACAACCUUCCGAAAGGAUGGCUAAUACCGGAUAAGCCUACGGGGUCUUCGGACCCUGAAGGAAAAGGUGGCCUCUGUACACAAGCUAUCUCUUCCAGAUGAGCCCGCGGCCCAUCAGCUAGUUGGCGGGGUAAUGGCCCACCAAGGCAACGACGGGUAGCUGGUCUGAGAGGACGAUCAGCCACACUGGAACUGAGACACGGUCCAGACUCCUACGGGAGGCAGCAGUGGGGAAUUUUGCACAAUGGGCGAAAGCCUGAUGCAGCAACGCCGCGUGUGUGAUGAAGGUCUUCGGAUUGUAAAGCACUUUCGACCGGGACGAAACACCCUUGGCUAACAUCCAAGGGCCUGACGGUACCGGGAGAAGAAGCACCGGCUAACUCUGUGCCAGCAGCCGCGGUAAUACAGAGGGUGCAAGCGUUGUUCGGAAUUAUUGGGCGUAAAGCGCGUGUAGGCGGCUUUGCAAGUCGGGUGUGAAAUCCCUCAGCUUAACUGAGGAAGUGCGCCCGAAACUGCAGAGCUUGAGUACCGGAGAGGGUGGCGGAAUUCCCCAAGUAGAGGUGAAAUUCGUAGAUAUGGGGAGGAACACCGGUGGCGAAGGCGGGCCACCUGGACGGAUACUGACGCUGAGACGCGAAAGCGUGGGGAGCAAACAGGAUUAGAUACCC